GUACUUCUUGACGUUUCGGCCACAUAAACAUUAUUACAAGUAUUGCAUCGUAUAAUCAUAAGUCAUUCCAUGCCCACCGCAAGGUCCUUUUCCCCCGUUGUACAUGCUAGACAGCCAUUCUUGCCACAAUUCUCUGUUUUGAACGGAUUUUCAUGAUGACAUCUUCAUGACAUCCUUCCUCUUAACUUGAUGUUAAAAUCUAGGUUUCUGAUCUCUGUUGAUAUUCUCUUUGUAGUUGCAACCUUGUUAUAGCUGAUUCGUUUCCUCCUUUCGCAUACUAAUUUUUCUUUUUCCUUAUUUUCUCCUUCGUUCUCUCCUCUUUAUUCCACUUAUUUGGUCUAUACAUUAGUCGUUCUCCACUUUCAGCUUCUUUUCCAAUGUUUGUUCCAACUUUAACUCUUGAAUAUCGACAACGUAGGAAAUCAGCGCACCAGUUUAUUAAACAGGGACGGACACCAAGUGCUUACAGCUUAUUGAUGAGAAUAUUAUGAUCAAUUCUGUCAAACGCCUUGGAAAAGUCUAUCAUACAAGCGUGUAUAUCACUGAACCGGUAGAGUCGGAAGGUCAUGUGAAUAAGAGCAAGAGUGGUAGGGCACUUCUUCAUGUUCCCGUAUUGGUACCGAUCGAUAUAAUGUACGAUCUGUUCAAA